UGCCCAGAACAAGGAGAGCUGGGAAGCUUUCCAGGCUGCUGCCGAAGCAGCCACGAGAAGCGGACACGGACUGUCAGUCGAUUACGGAAGAGCCAAUGACCUUUUCGGGAGCCUCACUACACCUCUGGGUCGGCAGAAGCUACGCGAGCUGUUUUUCAAGAACGUCGUCCACUACGGCAUAUUGAAAGCAACGGGAACGGUGGCGCAGCUCCUUGAAGAUAUGCAUGGAAAGCUAACACUGCUGAAGGCGCUGAAGCAGCUCCAAGAAAAGUUCAUGUCCGAGGCCCCAAUGACGAAGCCGAGGCUGGGCAUUGCUCUCGGCGUCAGAUUCACCACUUACGACAGCCCUGACGACAGCAAGCUUCAUUCUGCAGCAAUGACAGCUAU
rnacentral:lncRNA from 1 species